CCGGUCUUCUUCUCUGGAUUAAUCUCUUCUCUCGUCAUCCUCUCGAAACCUCGCGCACCUCCCCACCGCUCCCGCCCCGCCCUCUCCUCCAUCCGGUUUUGCCGCCCUGCCUCCUUCCAGCCCUUCGGCCUCCUCCCUGCCCCUCCCCGUCAGCCCCCGUAUCCUGCCCUGCGGCUCGUCCUGGGCUUGUGGCCGCACUUCGAGGUCAUCCUUUCUGGACACGCGUCUAGGCAGAGAUGGCGCUGCUCCUGCAACUUCGAAGAAGGCACCGGACCAAUCUACCAGACGUCAUCUACAUCCGCAGGUCUUAGCUCCCCAGAAUCCAUCGCUUGUUCUUCUUUGGUCCAAUCUGGACUGUUAAUUCCGUCAAGAGAUUCGCUCACUCAGGCAAAGCGGCUCAUGUGCCGCCGCAUUGGAGUCCAAUUUGAGGAGCCGGUCACCAACCCCGCGGAUCUCCUCUCCUUCUAUGCUGACUGCUUCAAGAGAUCCCCUCUCCAUCUCCCAGAUCGACGCCCUGACACAGCUUUCAACUCAUGCCAUUGGGGGUAAGAAGAUUCUGAAGAAUACAAUCGCCUGAGUCUCAGUUCACUGUUUGUCUCAGCCUGUACCCAUGUCGUUUGUGUUUCUUUGAUUAGUGGCAAUUUCCUUGUGUGGAAUGUCAGGGGGCUUAACUCCCCGGCGAGAAGAGCGGCUGUCAGUGUGUUUGUUAGUCAUAAUGAUGUGUGUAUGAUCUGUUUGCAAGAAACCAAAAUGUCCGUGUUUGAUCUUAAUUUGGUGAAGGAGAUUUGUGGUGCUUCUUUCUCGGGAUUUGCCUAUUCCCCAUCUGAUGGAGCAAGUGGAGGGUUGCUAAUAGCCUGGGCAGAUGACGUUGUUGUUUCCUCUAUCCAAUGUUCCAAAAUUUUCAACUCUGCUAUGUGAAAGCAGAGCAAACGGGUUAGUUUGGCAGAUGGUUAACGUCUAUUGCCCCCAAUUUUUCUCUGACAAGAUGGACUUUCUUGCUGACCUGCAGCAAAUUGGGAUUAACUGCCCUGGCCCGCUCUUGUUCUUGGCGAUUUCAAUAUGAUUGCUGCAGCUAAGGAUAAGAACAAUGGUAAUCUCAACAGGGGUCUGAUACACAUGGAGAAAUGAACAAUUCAACACAAUUCUUGUCAGGCUUAAUUGAUUCCUGUAUAGCCAACCGUGGUGUGAGGCUGCACCCAAUGCCAUGUUGCAGGCCCUCUCUGAAGAAGACCGCUACAUUGAAUUUUGACGCUCUUGGUUUUCAACCUUGUAAGCUGCUGGAACUAGAGCGCCCUUCACCGAAGAGGAAAUAAAAUAGGCCAUAUUUGAUAUGCAUCCUGAAAAGGUGCCCGGGCCAGAUGGUUUCACCGGAAUGUUGGGAAUUCAUCAUGGGUGUUGUGACGCUCCAUUAUUGCGAUUCAAAGACUCCAUCAUGGGUGUUGUUAUAUAUUAAAAAUAUGAGUGCAGAGGAAA